UGCACUCACGAUGGUAAGUCGCUCUGGAUAAGAGCGCCUGCUAAAUAACUAAAA
rfam:Salmo salar isolate Sally breed double haploid chromosome ssa25, whole genome shotgun sequence.